CGGAAGGUCCGGGCGUUAUCCGGAUUUAUUGGGUUUAAAGGGAGCGUAGGCCGGAGAUUAAGCGUGUUGUGAAAUGUAAGACGCUCAACGUCUGCACUGCAGCGCGAACUGGUUUCCUUGAGUACGCACAAAGUGGGCGGAAUUCGUGGUGUAGCGGUGAAAUGCUUAGAUAUCACGAAGAACUCCGAUUGCGAAGGCAGCUCACUGGAGCGCAACUGACGCUGAAGCUCGAAAGUGCGGGUAUCGA
rnacentral:rRNA from 1 species